rnacentral:rRNA from 1 species
AUCGAACGCUGGCGGCAGGCCUAACACAUGCAAGUCGAGCGAGCGGCGGACGGGUGAGUAAUGUAGGGGGAUCUGCCCGAUAGAGGGGGAUAACUACUGGAAACGGUGGCUAAUACCGCAUACUAUUGGAUGAACCAAAAUGGGAUUAGCUAGGAGGUGGGGUAAAGGCACACCUAGGCGACGAUCUAUAGCUGGUCUGAGAGGAUGACCAGCCAGACUGGGACUGAGACACGGCCCAGACUCCUACGGGAGGCAGCAGUGGGGAAUAUUGCACAAUGGGCGCAAGCCGGAUGCAGCCAUGCCGCGUGUAUGAAGAAGGCCUUAGGGUUGUAAAGUACUUUCAGCGGGGAGGCGUUACCCGCAUAAGAAGCACCGGCUAACUCCGUGCCAGCAGCCGCGGUAAUUC